UACGGGGGGGGCAAGCGUUGUUCGGAAUUACUGGGCGUAAAGGGCUCGUAGGUGGCCAACUAAGUCAGACGUGAAAUCCCUCGGCUUAACCGGGGAACUGCGUCUGAUACUGGAUGGCUUGAGUUCGGGAGAGGGAAGCGGAAUUCCGGGUGUAGCGGUGAAAUGCGUAGAUAUCCGGAGGAACACCGGUGGCGAAGGCGGCUUCCUGGACCGACACUGACGCUGAGGCGCGAAAGCGUGGGGAGCAAACAGG
rnacentral:rRNA from 1 species